AUACCAUGAUGUGGACAUGUAACCAUCAGACCCUUGAAUCUCUCUCACAUUUCUUGUAACGUCUCUAUUUGGUUUCUGUUUGAAGCUCAAUAUCUCAUCAAUUUGCU
rnacentral:snoRNA from 1 species